rnacentral:sRNA from 1 species
UCAAAAAAAUCAAACAAAAAAGCUGAAGCUUAUGAUGAACGGGUGAAUCCAAACUCUGACAGAAGAGGAGAGAAGGAUGUCAGGUGUCCUACUCCAUCAGUCAUCUCCACUUAAUUCCUUUGAGGCAGAGUCUCUCACUGAGCCUGGAGCUGGGCUGGGCUCCGUAACCUCAAUGAUUCUCUUGUCUCUGCCACUGCAGUGCUGGAGUUACAGAUGUACCGAGCUGUUGUGGAAUCUGAAAUCUGGUCCUUGUGUAGGCAUAGCUGGCACUCUUUCCCACUGAGCCUAUUUCCAGCCCUGGAAGUUCUUUACUCAGCCUCCUCAGUACAGGGAUUGUAGGUUUGCUCCACCACCCCCAGCUACUAACAAGAUGUUGAUGUGGCAGGGCUGCUUCUCAACAUUUCACAGCCAGUAAUGGCAGGCAGCCGAUCUCUUUCGCCUAUGGCCCUAGAAUCACAUUCCUUCCUCGAUCUGACCCUGUUCCCACAGGUUGACCUCUGUGAAGAGAAUCAGUGGACUCCCUUGUAGUUUGGCUUCUAAGUGUGUUGAUCUAGUAGAGACCCAGCAGCUGGAGUUCAGGGAGGCCCCCUAGCUGGCGGGCUGGAUUGCCCAUCUCCUGGGCUGGCACUUCCCUCACUGCCCUCCUGUGUUCCCUGCCUUCUACCUUCUGGCUUUCUAAUGGUCCUUCUGGUCCCAGAGAUUCCCUGGGAAAUCCUAUUAUUCUUUGUAGACUUGCUUCCCUCUGUCCUAAAAGCAACCAACCAACCUAAGAGUCAACUCUUCCCAUCCAAGUUUGCACCUCCCAGAAGAAUCGGAUGAUACAGGUGCCGUCCAGCCAAUCAGCGCUGUUAGUCUCGUCUUCUGGACAAGAAAUCUGAGAUCGAAGAGAAUUGUCAGCUAUACCCUGAGCUACACCCCGUGGUUUUGCCUUUUGACUUGAAUUGCAUCAUUGGCUUUCCAAAUGUGACCUCUGGGCCUGACGCAUCACCAUCACUGGGGAGCUUGUUUGGAAAAUAUGAAUUUUAGGACCCACCUCAGAUCUACUGAGUAAGAAGCAAGAUGGCCGGAGUGAUUUCUGAUUUAAGGUCUCUAUUGCUCUACAGUGUCCAGUUCAGCAAGAAGCGAGACUCUCCCCAACCCCCACAACUGCACUUACCUUGGAUUCCAGGAAAAUCAGAACUGACAUAAGCACCUUUAAGACAGGAGACUGAAAUGACCAAGAAGCAACUAACUAUAAGCCUCAAAGGACAGACCACUCCCCAAAUGAGGGCAAUUAUCUCUGAUGGCAGGGCUGCUCCCAGAGGGAAGACAUUAUCACCAGGGAGGCAAUUCCCUCCUCUAGUGAGGGCUGUAAAUCACUUCUUCCAAACGUGCAGAAACAGGACUGCUAAGAUCCACCGGUUACACCUUGACCAAGACUGCCUGAUUGCACACACUUCAUGCCCUUUGCCCCAUUUUUCUAUUUAAAUCUGAAGCUCAUUCAGGUGUUUGAAAGAUUGGUGAGACCUCAUUCAGGGUCUCACAGGAACACUUGAUCUGUCCCUUCUCCUUAUAUUUUUGGUUGUGAGCCUAGCCUUUAACGGCUGAGCCAUCUCUCCAGCCCCUGUCCCUUCUCCUAAGGGAAGCCAAUUACGUACCUCAGGACAGCUCUGUGUAUGGCCCGAUGCAAAACUGUACACUUAUUUAUCAUGAGGGUUCUUUUGCAUGUUUUGCUUGUGCUUUUACAGUGCGGUGCUUAAGCAUGAACUUCAUAGAACUUUAUGCUGGAGUGCAGUAGGUGGUAUGCUCUGUGUGGUGACCACUUUCACGCCUCGGUGGCAAACAUAUCUUAAUUCCAGCAACAAGGAGGUAGGGGCAAGAAGAUCUCUGAGCUCCAGGCCAGCUGAGGUAACAUAGUGAGACCCUGUCUUAAAGAGACAGACCCAAACCCAAACCUUCCUGCUGUGAUGUCAGCAUACCAGCAGCUUUGACUAGAUCUCACUUCUGUACUUCUUCAUCUCUUUAGUUGGCUUAUUAGAGAGAAAAAACUGCCACAAAACCCCAAAAAUCACCUCAUUCAACAUCUGUUAUAGGCCACAAGAGACUAUUUAAAAACCAAAUUGUAAUCCCGUAACUCUCAAACUGCAUCUCCACAUCUCAAACUAAACAGGGUCUAUUCAGUCCAGGUUGGUCUUAAAUUCAUAUCAGUCCUUCAACCUUCCAAUUGGGGGGCUCACAGGCACAAGCCUCUAUGGCUACUUCAAACUUUUUCAAGUUUAUGAGAAAUAAUGCCAAAUUUCUCAAGCAGACCACUCCCUCCCCCUUCCCCACCAGCUUCUCUCUCUCAUUCACAUUUUCAUGAUUGCUGGGGGAGAUAGUAAAGAAACUACAACAUGACUGCUCCGUCAGGGGAAGGGUUUUAUUUUGAAUAAGAGAAAACACCAGAGGUCCCUGGAGGAGUCCAGAGCAGAGAGCAAAAGCAGACUGGACAUGGCCAGGGCCAUCUGGAGAGAAGAGAGGGAGGAGAUUGGGAGGAGGGGGUGGAAAAUCACUGUUAUAAGGAGGAUGAAUAGGUGGGGAUGGGAAGCUGCCGUGAGUUGGAGCAGGCCUGGAAGUUUUAUGGUAGAAGGGGAGGUGAUGAGGGCCAGGAUGCUAGUGUGGGAUCUUUGAAGUGAGUAUCAAGUGCUUGUGAGUAGGGACUAGAGGAGCCUGGAAGCUACUGGGGAUAUGCUGGAAGUGCCACAGCUGUAAGUUGAGAGCCAUGUGUCCCUUCUGCCAGAGGUAAGAGGAGUGACUCCUUUUGGGGGGGGGGUAGGAGCCUGUUUCACACGUUUCCUGGGAAUGCUGGUUUUUAUCUAACCACCAGAAAUCCUUCUAUACUCCAGCUUGAACUCCUUUCUGGAUAUAUGGACUGCCUGAGACCUAACAUGUGUGUGUACAUAUGUGUAUGUAUGUGUCCAUGUGCAAACACAUCUUGAUGCUAGUGUGGUCAAAAGACAACAAUUUGUGGCAAUUCAUUUUCUCCUUCCACAAUUGGGUUUUGUCUUAGUCAUUGUCUUAUUGCUGUGAACACAUACCAUGACCAUGACAACGCUUGUAAAAGAAAGCAUUUAAUUGGGGGCUUGCUUAUAGUUUCCAAUGGUCAGUCUAUUAUUAUCAUGGCAGGGAACAUGGUGACAUGCAUGGUCCUGGAACAGUAGCUAAGCACUACAUCUGGUUCUUUUUUUUUUUUU